ACUGAGACUGUGGGGUGGGGGGGUAUCGUUCAUUCACAGCCCAUUUCCAAAGGGGCGUCACCAACGGACGCCGCUCAAAUGCCUCUGGGUUCAAUUGGAU